UCUUAAAAUCAUUAUAUUAUGGUUCUUAAGAUAACAUAAGGGAAAAAAUUGAUAGUACCUUAUUAUUAGUGUUGUCCAACAUUACUGGUGCCAGAAGACUCGGUAACGCCAGAAACGCAAACGUUAGUCGUCUUAAUCAGGCGUAAAGGGUAAGUAGGCGGCUUUAAAAGUUAAAAUUUAGAAAGCUCUUUAAAACAACUAAAGUAAAUAAUAAUGAAUUAAAGCUAGAAUCAAAAAGAGGAUAAGCCAAAUAAUAUUUAGAGUAAGGCUGAUAUCUUCAAAUACUAAGUAGAGUUCUAAUGGUGAAAGCUUUUUCUAAUGUGAAGACGCUAGGAACGAAGG
rnacentral:rRNA from 1 species